UGACAAUCCUUACGAAUUAAAAAACGUUUCUUACAAAGUGAUGAGUGACCUGAGUUCGUUUAAUAUGUUUUCGCUUUUUAGAAAAUACAGCAAUAGUGUUAUAAUUGCUUUACAACGAAUUUUCUUUUGUAUGCAAAUGUAUUCACUGGUUGUGUGUGCGAAGCAAAAAAAAGAAUUUUUCCAAAAAAAUGGCAUUAAUACUAUAAACGAUACAUUUCAUAAAGAAAGAGGUACAUUGGAUAUGGCUGAUUCAGAUGAUAAAACAUGUAGUUAUUGUUCGUGUAGUAAUCAUAAAUGUAACAACAUAAAUGAAAUAAUAACUGAUAAUGGUUCUACAACAGUAAAAUCGAAUAAAGUAACAUACAAUAGUUAUAGCAGUAAUAACGAAAUUGAAAAUUAUAAAGAUAUGAUGAUGGGUAGUAACAACCAACAAAUGUGUACCUGUCAUGGAUACAUACAAACUAAGAUGAAUACCAACUCAAAUGAUACUAAUAACUUUAUUAAUAUAAGUUCAAUCAAAGGUUUGGAUGAGGACAGAGAAGGUUUAUGUUUGGAUAGCCUUUCAAAAAACAAUGAACAAUGUGAACGUGUAUUUAAACAUUUAAAAAAUUUAACCCCCAAUCAAAGAAAUUGUUUAUAUUAUUAUAAAAAUACAUUAUUUUAUGCCGAUAGUCAAUCUGAGUAUGAAAAUCGAAUGGGGGGUGAUUUUGGUAUAUGUGGAAAGUGUAGUAAGUCGUGCGAAGGUAGUAAUGUAGUUGGUAAAAGUUGCAAUAUAGUUGGCAAAAGUUGCAAUGUAGUUGGCAAAUGUUGCAAUGGUGAUACGGUCACUACUGCUCCUACUACCACUACCACUACCACUACUACCACUUCAAACAACUGCUUCCAUAACAAAGACAACCACAUAAAAUACAAUAUUUUAAAUACAUACAAUAAAAACGAUAACUAUACCCAUUUUUUCCAACCGUUGUUACCAAGUUUGAAAGUUCUGUUACUCACUUUAAAUAGAAUAAUGUUUAAUCAGUAUAAAUGUAAUGAACCGUUCAUAAAAAUAUACGAAUUAUUAUUUAAAUGUCUUUUGUAUGAGAUUGUAAUGGGAAAAGCAUCAUUAUUUCAAAAAAUAAAAACUUUGAAAAAAGUAGUUAGUGGUAGUAAUAACGUACAAUAUAAUGUAUGGGAUAAUGUUAAAGAUGAUGAAAAAGUAAAAGCUGUAGAAAAAGCAAAACGUCAAAUAAAAAUAUAUUCUGAUGACUUAAAUGACCUUCUUUUGUUUGAAAAUAUAUGUUAUUCUUUAUUCUGUUUUAAAACACUAUUCGAUUCUGAACAGGUUAGUGGUAAUGUAUUAGAAACAGCUUCUGAUUCUACUGCUCCUGUUGUAUCAUUCACUUUUUCAAAUACAUUACCACUAACCUGUUCAGAAUCGAAUAGUGUUUUAAAACAGAAUAAAAAAAAAAAUAAAAACAAAAUAAAAGAACAUAUUAAGGAACAUGUUAAAGAAUAUAAGGAUGAAUUACAUAAAGAACAGAUGGAAGAUGAUAGUAACCAUUCUAUGUAUACUCAUACUACCACAGCUACAUUUACAGUCGAUAGUUAUAAUGAUGAUAUGUUUACGAGUUUAGGACUUCCAGAAUUUGAUACAAGAGGUGAUAAUAAUAUACGUUUUAUUGAAAAUACAGUUUUAAAUUAUGAUGGAGUAUUAAAAGGGAUUGAUAAAAUAAUAAAUAAAAAUGAUCAAGACGCUUUUACUAUGUAUGGAUUAUUUCAUGCUAAUAAAAAAAGUAAUGUACCGAUGCGUGUAAAUUUAAAAAUUAGUGUUACAAUAAGUGUUCUUAAUAAAAAUUCUUUGAAUGGAGUUCGUAGUACUGCUCGUCCUGCUCGUUCACUUGGUAAUAGUACUAACAUAAAAACUAAUGAUUUAUUAACUCGUAAAAUUAAUUCCAAAGCAUUGAGAAAUACAAUUUUUAAUAAAAUUCUUACAUCUAAGCAGAUUAAUGAUGCAUUGAAAAAUUUACAAAUGCAUACUACAACAAACUUUACUGAAUCUGAUAAGAAGUCAUGUAAUUCGAUUUUUGACAUUUGUUGUAGUUGUAAUUGUAGUAAUAAUAAUAAUAGCAGUAAUAAUAAUAGCAGUAAUAAUAAUAGCAGUAAUAAUAAUAAUAAUAAUAAUAAUAAUAAUGAUAAUAGUCCCAUUUCCAAAACAGAGUUUAAUGAUUCAAAGAAAGAACAUUAUAGUUCUAAUUAUAAAAACGUCCUUAAGAUGACAACAUCUGAAAGGGCUAAACAUCAAGCAAUGGACUAUUUACUUUAUGAUUCUGUAACACAAACAAAAGGAAAUUUUUUUUCAAAAUUUUAUAGUAUGUGAUAAAAAUAUUUAUAAAGCUAUAAAAAAAAAAACUUAUGCUGAUAUGUCCUAUGUUUUAUUUUUUUAUAUGAAUUGUUAUAAAAAUUUGAGAAAAGGAGAAUUGAUGGAAAUACCUUUAUAUUUGGAGACAUAUAUGGAAACAACUACAUCUGGUAAUAGUAAUAAUUUCGAAAAAAAAUGAUAAAGGUAUGACUGUUAGCGGUAACAAUGCUGAUUAUUAUAAAACAGAAAAAAAGCAAGAUGGUAUAAAAACUAGUACCACUAGCAGUAGUAACAAUAGUAGUAAUGGUAGUAGUACCGAUCCUAGUGGUAAUAGUAUACGUUUUGGGCUUAAAAAACAUAUUCACAAAAAUAAAUGUAAGGAUCCAGAAAAUGAAAAUACA
ensembl:lncRNA